rnacentral:rRNA from 1 species
UACAGAGGGGGCAAGCGUUGUUCGGAAUUACUGGGCGUAAAGGGCGCGUAGGCGGCCUGCUAAGUCGAACGUGAAAUCCCCGAGCUCAACUCGGGAACUGCGUCCGAUACUGACAGGCUUGAAUCCGGGAGAGGGAUGCGGAAUUCCAGGUGUAGCGGUGAAAUUCGUAGAUAUUCGGAAGAAACACCAGUGGCGAAGGCGACUCACUGGACAACUGUUGACGCUGAGGUGCGAAAGCGUGGGGAGCAAACAGGG